rnacentral:ncRNA from 1 species
GAAAAGAUGAGGAAAAAGAGGAGUACGCAUAAACACUCGGCAGAGAGGGCGGCCCAAAGGCUGAAAGGACGCCCGGAGAAAGGGAUGCGGAAGGUAGCUUUGGAAUCGGAGGCCUGAACAGACGGCUGGCAGGGAAUACAGUCUGCAUCGCAGUCGGUAGGGCUUCACGUUUUAUCCCCGUUAAAGGAUAAAUGAGGCCGGAAAGGAAAAAAAUUUCCGGUGAACAAAGGUGGUACCGCGUGAAUACGCCCUUUGC